GGGUGACCAGUGACAGAGUGAGGGGGGGGUGACUAGUGAGGGAGGGGGUGACUAGUGACAGAGGGAGAGAGAUGGUGACUUGUGACAGAGGGAGGGAGAUUGUGACUGCCACUAGUCACCCCAUCCCUCCCUCUGUCACUAGUCACUCCCUCCCUAACUAUGUCACUAGUCACCCCCUCCCUCUGUCACUGUGUCACCCCAUCCCUCCCUCUGUCACUAGUCACUCCCUCCCUCACUCUGUCACUAUUCACCCC